rnacentral:rRNA from 1 species
AUUGAACGCUGGCGGCAUGCUUUACACAUGCAAGUCGAACGGUAACAGGUUAAGCUGACGAGUGGCGAACGGGUGAGUAAUGCAUCGGAACGUGCCUGGUCGUGGGGGAUAACGCAGCGAAAGCUGCGCUAAUACCGCAUACGAUCUGAGGAUGAAAGCGGGGGACCGUAAGGCCUCGCGCGAUCGGAGCGGCCGAUGUCAGAUUAGGUAGUUGGUGGGGUAAAGGCUCACCAAGCCAACGAUCUGUAGCUGGUCUGAGAGGACGAUCAGCCACACUGGGACUGAGACAAGGCCCAGACUCCUACGGGAGGCAGCAGUGGGGAAUUUUGGACAAUGGGCGAAAGCCUGAUCCAGCAAUGCCGCGUGCAGGAAGAAGGCCUUCGGGUUGUAAACUGCUUUUGUACGGAGCGAAAAGGUCUCCUCUAAUACAGGGGGCUCAUGACGGUACCGUAAGAAUAAGCACCGGCUAACUACGUGCCAGCCGCCGCGGUAA